rnacentral:rRNA from 1 species
GACGAACGCUGGCGGCGUGCUUAACACAUGCAAGUCGAACGGAAAGGCCCUGCUUGCAGGGUACUCGAGUGGCGAACGGGUGAGUAACACGUGGGUGUUCUGCCCUGCACUUCGGGAUAAGCCUGGGAAACUGGGUCUAAUACCGGAUAUGACCUUCCAUGUAGUGUGGGGGGUGGAAAGAUUUAUCGGUGUGGGAUGAGCCCGCGGCCUAUCAGCUUGUUGGUGGGGUAAUGGCCUACCAAGGCGUCGACGGGUAGCCGGCCUGAGAGGGUGGACGGCCACAUUGGGACUGAGAUACGGCCCAGACUCCUACGGGAGGCAGCAGUGGGGAAUAUUGCACAAUGGGCGGAAGCCUGAUGCAGCGACGCCGCGUGGGGGAUGACGGCCUUCGGGUUGUAGACCUCUUUCGACAGGGACGAAGCUUCGGUGACGGUACCUGUAUAAGAAGCACCGGCUAACUACGUG